ACAGUCUCGUCUCUCUUCUUUCUCGUUCUCUCGAAAAAAGCUUAAUUUCUCUGCUCGUCCUUCUCGGGUACGGUAUAUAUAUUUUGCCAUAUAUAUAUGUAUAUUAGCUUUUGGAUCUAUUAAAAAAAAAGAAUUUUGAACUUGAUUUCAUUUUCUAAUGGACUGGUAAGUGACUGUUAGUCUUAGAUCUAGUGUUUGGCUGCCGUGAUUUUGCUAGAUCCGAUCUUGAAUACAUCUGCAAUUAAUCUUUUCCGAAAAACAUUGAGCAUGGUUUUGAUUUCCGAACUUUUAGAUCUGAAAAAAAAAAUUUGUAAAAAACUCACUAAUACUCAACCAAAAUCUGUUCAUUUAAAAAAAAAA
rnacentral:lncRNA from 1 species